CGACCUUCGGGAGCCGGUGACAGGUGCUGCAUGGCUGUCGUCAGCUCGUGUCGUGAGAUGUUGGUUAAGUCCCGCAACGAGCGCAACCCUAUCUUUAAUUGCCAUCAUUCAGUUGGGUCACUUUAGAGAGACUGCCGGUGUUAAGCCGGAGGAAGGUGGGAUGACGUCAAGUCCUCAUGGCCUUUAUGUCUAGGGCUACACACGUGCUACAAUGGGUGGUACAAAGAGCAGCUAACUCGCGAGAGUAUGCAAAUACUCAAAAAGACCAUCCUCAGUUCGGAUUGGAGUCUGCAACUCGACUCCCAUGAAGUUGGAAUCGCUAGUAAUCGCGGAUCAGCACGCCGCGGUCGAAUACGUUCCCGGGCCUU
rnacentral:rRNA from 1 species